UAGGCUCGCCGGAAUCGGUCGUCCGCCCGUUCUCUCCUGAUACGCGUCGGUCGGAUGAGGGUGGGGCACAGCCGGCGGCGGAGAAGGCUUUAUCUGAUGUUGAGUUCUCCGGGGGGGUCCUGCACCAUGUUCAGCUCGGGCGGUGGCGAUGUGGCUGUCGGACGCGCCCAUGGCGCGGCGCUGCCCGUCGUCUCGCAGUACAAUCUUUAUUUGUCAAUGUUCAUAAAUGACAAGAGGGCCGCAAGCAUCAGACGAGCGGGCGGCAGUGGUUGAUCGUGUGCCGGCACUUGAAGCUGCCAUACGAGGGUUCGCUGACAGGGGGACUGAUGUGGUUGUCAACCCGGUGCUUGGCACAAUUUUCGAUUCUAUGCCGGAGGCAUAUGAAUUCUACAAUCUUAUUCUCGUCGCUGGUUAAUUUCCCUGGUUAAUUUUCGUUGACAAAAGAGCUUGAAUUGCUAGUAAAAAUAACCACCGGAGUUGCAUGAUUAGGUUCUUUCUGUCCAA